rnacentral:rRNA from 1 species
GACGAACGCUGGCGGCGUGCUUAACACAUGCAAGUCGAACGGAAAGGCCCUGCUUUUGUGGGGUGCUCGAGUGGCGAACGGGUGAGUAACACGUGAGUAACCUGCCCUUGACUUUGGGAUAACUUCAGGAAACUGGGGCUAAUACCGGAUAGGAGCUCCUGCUGCAUGGUGGGGGUUGGAAAGUUUCGGCGGUUGGGGAUGGACUCGCGGCUUAUCAGCUUGUUGGUGGGGUAGUGGCUUACCAAGGCUUUGACGGGUAGCCGGCCUGAGAGGGUGACCGGCCACAUUGGGCCUGAGAGACGGCCCAGACGCCUACGGGAGGCAGCAGUGGGGAAUAUUGCACAAUGGGCGGAAGCCUGAUGCAGCAACGCCGCGUGCGGGAUGACGGCCUUCGGGUUGUAAACCGCUUUCGCCUGUGACGAAGCGUGAGUGACGGUAAUGGGUAAAGAAGCACCGGCUAACUACGUG